rnacentral:rRNA from 1 species
AUGCAGAUUUUGAAGUAUGGAGCAAACAAAAGUGACCCUAACAAGGAAGAAACUCAAUCGAGCAGUGGUGCCAAUAGGCUUGUGACAUUUUUUAUGCACCUUUCUGAUAUCAAGCAAGGUGGUGAAACCGUUUUCCCGGUGAAACCUGUCAAGGGCAACGUGAUUCUGCUGUUCAAUUCAAGGCCUGACGGAAUCUCCGACAAGGACAACCACUAUGAGGCCUGUUGUGUCCUUGAAAGGGAGAAAUGGCUCGUCAUAAAACAUAUGCAUGCGAGCAAGAUUGUUAAAUCAAAACCUUCGCCGGCAUCCGAGGAUGAUGGUUGCACCGAUGAAGAUGGUAACUGCGUCAGUUGGGCCGCUGCCGGCGAAUGCGACAAGAAUCCAGUGUUUAUGAUUGGAAGUCCAUACUACUAUGGCACUUGUAGGAAGAGCUGUUUUUUUUGUUUUCGUCCAUUGCCCUUAGGGAUGUCUCUUAGCAUUUUCGUUGUUUAA